AGUAAAAUAAAAUGAAGUGUUUAAUUUGGUCUCGGCCUUAAACGAAACACAACAAAGCCACCACAGAUCUCUUGGCCGAGAAAUAACAGAAAAAAUCCCCUUUACAAACAGUAGUAGCAGAAUUAGGAGGGGGAAAAAGUCUGCGUGUUCGACAGGGAAAAGGGAGCUCUCCACCUUCUCCUCGGUCUCUCCGUCGCAUUAUCUAUUUAUCAAGUUUGUCUUUUUCAUAUUUCUUUUUACCUGUACAAGUUGAUUGGAGGAGGAAUUUUGGGUGGUUUUCUUCACCGAUCUCUUCUCCAAGAAAUGUCGGCUAUUUCGAAUUUCACGGCGUGCCGGCGUUUCCAAAAUGGAGCUGCAUUAACAAAAGACUCACCUGGGGUUGGUUUGAUUACUAACAAGUUUCUGGCGACCAAGAUUUCUACGCCAUUCCACAAGGUGUCUCUCGUAUGUUCAAAAAGGACGUUUAAAGGUUCAAAUAUAAGAAUGACAAUGUUAGAUGACAAACUUUCCAGCGGGAAGGUUGUUGUGCCAUCUGAAGUGCUGGCAUAUGAGCUCGUUCAAGGAGCAAAAGUAAAAUGGAGUUAUAUUAUGGAGGGAUCGUUGCCUGAACCACCGACUGCUGUUCUCUUGCAUGGUAUUCUUGGCAGCAGGAAAAACUGGGGAAGCUUUGCUAGGAGAUUGGCCCAAGAAUUUCCGAAAUGGCAGUUUCUCCUGGUGGACUUGCGGUGCCAUGGUGAUUCAGCAUCCCUCAAGAAGAGAGGCACACAUACAGUCGCGUCAGCUGCUCUUGAUGUCCUAAAGCUGCUUGGCCAGCUCAGACUGACUCCCCGAGUUGUAGUUGGUCACAGCUUUGGAGGAAAAGUUGCAUUGAGCAUGGUUGAGCAGGUUCCAAAGCCCCUUGCACGGCCUGUUAGAGUCUGGGUUCUAGAUGCCACUCCAGGAGAGGUUCGAGCUGGUGCAGAUGGAGAUGAUCAUCCAGCUGAAUUGAUAUCAUUUCUGAGUAAAUUACCAAAAGAGGAAGGUCUCUUCAAAACGAGAUAUUGUGGAUGCUCUGAUACAAGAAGGUUUUUCCAGGGAUGUAGCACAGUGGGUGGUAACUAACCUUCGUCAAACCAACACUGCUGGUUCAUCUCCUUCACCUUUGUCAUGGGUGUUUGAUCUCAAAGGUAUUGCUGAAAUGUAUCAAUCAUAUGAAGAAACAAAUCUGUGGAAAAUUGUGGAGGAUGUUCCUCGGGGCGUGCAUGUUAACUUUUUGAAAGCAGAAAGAAGUUUGCAUAGAUGGGCUCUUGAGGAUAUUAGAAGAAUCCAUGUUGCUGAGGAACAGGCUGUAGAGGAAGGAGGUGGAGUCGAAAUGCAUGUCCUCGAAGAUGCAGGUCAUUGGGUACAUGCUGAUAACCCAGAUGGGCUAUUCAAGAUCCUUUCAUUUUCCUUCCAAGGAUUUUAGGCCCAAGGAAUUCUGGCAUUGACCCUAUGACCUGAAUAUAGGUUGUGAACCCCUUGCAACCUAUAAGAUUGCAGAAAGAUCCAAUUCUUUUUGUAGUAUAGUGUAUAUCAUCUCAUUCAUUAUGAUUUGCUCGUUCUAGAAUGUGAUGUGCAGAAAUUAGUUUGGUGGGGCUGUUUCACCUUUAAAGCUGAGUACACGAUACAGAAUUGUGCAAAGAACUUAUUUACAAGUUAUGUCCUGAUGGAUCAUUAAACACCAGCUUUACUGGGUAAUGUAAGCUCAUUUAUCUUCUUCAAAUGAAUAUGAUUCUACCAAUUCAUACAUCAA